GGAGAGAGGAGAGGAGAGGAGAUGAUCAGCCUCUACUGGUAUGUUUUCUCUGACAGCUCUUACGGUGUGUUUGUGAAGACUAUAUAUCAAUAAAGCGGAUCUUUAUAAACCAGCAGUUUAAGACUACGACCAUCAAUCCGCUGGGGAUGCUCCAGUCACGACUCGGAAAGGGUCGAGAACCACUGCGACAAGUCUGUGUGGGCAUCCUUACUCAAUCGGCGAAACAAGCUACACUCACCCACCUUAGCAGCCCUGAGGACAGUCAGGCCUUCGAACUUUUCAUGAGGUGUGUGCGGAG